CCUACGGGAGGCAGCAGUGGGGAAUAUUGCACAAUGGGGGAAACCCUGAUGCAGCGACGCCGCGUGAGUGAAGCAGCGCCUCUGCGCGUAAAGCUCUGUCAGCAGGGACGAUAAUGACGGUACUUGAAGAAGAAGCCCCGUCUAACUACUUGCAAGCAGCCGCGGUAAUACGUGGGGGGCACGCGUUAUCCGGAUUUACUGGGUGUAAAGGGAGCGUAGACGGCGGGGCAAGUCUGGAGGGAAAGGCCUGGGCUCAACCCUGGGACGGCUCUGGAAACUGGCCGGCUUGAGUGCGGGAGAGGGAGGAGGAAUUCCUGGUGUAGCGGUGAAAUGCGUAGAGAUUAGGAGGAACACCAGCGGCGAAGGCGGCUUACUGGACCAUGACUGACGUUGAGGCUCGAAAGCGUGGGGAGCAAACAGGAUUAGAUACCCGAGUAGUC
rnacentral:rRNA from 1 species